GCCCGGGUGGCGUAACAGGCAGACGCAGAGGGCUUAAACCCCUCGGUCCCUUCGGGGAUGUGCGGGUUCGACUCCCGCCCCGGGCA
rnacentral:tRNA from 1 species